rnacentral:tRNA from 1 species
GGUGGCUCAGUGGUAGAGAGCUUGCCUUGCAUGCAUGAGCCCCUGGGUUCAAUUCCCAGCACCA